rnacentral:rRNA from 1 species
UACGGAGGGUGCAAGCGUUGUUCGGAAUCACUGGGCGUAAAGCGCGUGUAGGCGGCCUCUUAAGUCUGGUGUGAAAGCCCGGGGCUCACCCCCGGAAGGGCACUGGAUACUGGGAGGCUAGAGUACCGGAGAGGAGGGUGGAAUUCCUGGUGUAGCGGUGAAAUGCGUAGAUAUCAGGAAGAACACCGGUGGCGAAGGCGGCCCCCUGGUCGGCUACCGACGCUGAGACGCGAAAGCGUGGGGAGCAAACAGG